rnacentral:sRNA from 1 species
GCGGUUGUCAGCCAGACAAAGACAGUCAGUCUGAUGUGAUUGAGACAAGGGAGGUUUUUCAGGGGGAGACUGGGAGAUAGGGGCCUCCCCUCCCCCUUCUCCUCUUCCUGCGCCGGCCUCAACCCCUCCCCAGUCCCCUCCCGACGGGCGCCCCACGCGGAAGACACCCCUCCCCCUCCCGCUUUCCCUCCUCCCUACCUCAGCCCUUCGUAUUGGGACGUUGGGGAGGGGGCUGUGCCGGGCGGAGAGAACUCAGCGAGGAUUCUGAGAAUGGUAGAUAACGCAGAUCAUCUCUGGAAAGGAUAUUGAUCCUCCUCAUGUAAAGUAUGCUCAGUUCCUUUCCAGUGGUUUUGCUGGAAACCAUGUCUCAUUAUACAGAUGAACCCAGAUUUACCAUAGAGCAGAUAGAUCUGCUUCAGCGACUUCGGCGUACUGGAAUGACUAAACAUGAAAUUCUCCAUGCCUUGGAAACUUUGGACCGUCUUGAUCAAGAGCAUAGUGACAAGUUUGGAAGAAGGUCCAGCUAUGGAGGAAGUUCAUAUGGGAAUAGUACCAACAAUGUCCCAGCAUCUUCCUCUACAGCUACAGCUUCCACACAGACGCAGCAUUCGGGAAUGUCCCCAUCACCUAGCAACAGUUACGAUACUUCCCCACAGCCUUGCACUACCAAUCAAAAUGGGAGGGAGAAUAAUGAGCGAUUAUCUACAUCCAAUGGAAAGAUGUCACCAGCUCGCUACCAUGCAAACAGCAUGGGUCAGAGGUCAUACAGUUUUGAAGCCUCAGAAGAGGACCUAGAUGUAGAUGAUAAAGUGGAAGAAUUAAUGAGGUUGGUGACUUUGCUUAUUCAGAGUCCCUAAAAACGUCUGUAUUCUUAGAUUGUUUUUAAGUAGUAUGCUGCGUUUCAGCUACUUAGCUAUAAGAACUGUAACUUCCUCCUCCCAACUUUGGAGAUGA